rnacentral:piRNA from 1 species
UAUAUAUAUAGUAAGAGGAGCUGCCAGAU